UACGUAGGAGGCAAGCGUUGUCCGGAUUUACUGGGCGUAAAGCGCGCGCAGGCGGCAGUGCAAGUAAGGUGUGAAAUCUCCCUGCUCAACGGGGAGGGUGCAUUUUAGACUGCACAGCUAGAGGUCGGUAGAGGGGGGUGGAAUUGCUGGUGUAGCGGUGGAAUGCGUAGAGAUCGGGAAGAACACCAGUGGCGAAGGCGACGUGCUGGGUUGCAACUGACGCUGAGAUGCGAAAGUGUGGGGAGCAAACGGG
rnacentral:rRNA from 1 species